rnacentral:rRNA from 1 species
UGGGGAAUAUUGCACAAUGGGCGCAAGCCUGAUGCAGCGACGCCGCGUGAGGGAUGACGGCCUUCGGGUUGUAAACCUCUUUCAGCAGGGACGAAGCGCAAGUGACGGUACCUGCAGAAGAAGCACCGGCCAACUACGUGCCAGCAGCCGCGGUAAUACGUAGGGUGCGAGCGUUGUCCGGAAUUACUGGGCGUAAAGAGCUCGUAGGCGGUUUGUCGCGUCGUCUGUGAAAUUCUGCAGCUUAACUGCAGGCGUGCAGGCGAUACGGGCAGACUUGAGUACUACAGGGGAGACUGGAAUUCCUGGUGUAGCGGUGAAAUGCGCAGAUAUCAGGAGGAACACCGGUGGCGAAGGCGGGUCUCUGGGUAGUAACUGACGCUGAGGAGCGAAAGCGUGGGUAGCGAACAGGAUUAGAUACCCUGGUAGUCCACGCCGUAAACGGUGGGUACUAGGUGUGGGUUCCAUUUCACGGGAUCCGUGCCGUAGCUAACGCAUUAAGUACCCCGCCUGGGGAGUACGGCCGCAAGGCUAAAACUUAAAUGAAUUGACGGGGUCAUAGCUG